CGCGGGGUGGAGCAGCCWGGUAGCUCGUCGGGCUCAUAACCCGAAGGUCGUCGGUUCAAAUCCGGCCCCCGCAACCA
rnacentral:tRNA from 1 species